UCACUCUGUCACCCAGGCUAGAGUGCAGUGGUAUAAUCUCGGCUCACUGCAACCUCCACCUCCUGGGUUCAAGUGAUCCUCCUGCCUCAGCUUCCCUAUAACUGGGAUUGUAGGCACAUGCCACCAUGCCUGGCUAAUUUUGUAUUUUUAGAAAGGUGGGGUUUCACCAUGUUGGCUAGGCUGGUCUUGAACUCCUGACCUCAAGUGAUCUGCCCGCCUCGGCCCCCCAAAGUGCUGGGAUUAUAGGCAUGAGCCACCGUGUCUGGCCAAGGUAACAUUUUUUAAUGGUAAGAGAAAUAGAGUAAAAGUGCAGAGAGUCAUAUUAAUUGUGGAUUCAAAUUUUGUCAGUAUACAUCUUUCAUAUAUACUUUUGCAUAUUUGUUUAUUCAAAUUUGCCAAUAUUUGGGAACCACUGCAGGGCACUGUAUGGGGAUUAAAAAAUUUGAAGGUUAGAUGGAAACAUGAUUGUAGUAGCUAACCCCUGUGUCCAGUUUGGUAAGAUUCCAGUGAAGCCGGGGUGGGGGGCUUGAGAGACUGAAGGCCAUGAUGAAAACAAAAGGGCAGGCUUAUUGAGUAUAAGGGAGAAGGGAACUUUUCAGAUAGAGGGAUCCAGGUUUUGGAACAUGAGAUAGAAGAAUUGGAGUUUUUCUAGUGUCGAAGGCCUGGCUGCAUUUGUGUUGUGGUGCCUAGUUGUGUUGUCUAUUGUAUAUUGGAAGGGCUGUCAAUGUGGAGUUGUAGUUGCUGGUGGUGACAGGAGCCAGGAUAAAGAAGGUGGUUGUGAACUAGGGUGAAAGUCUUAAGGGGCUCCCCUAAAGGUAGGUAGAAGAUUAUUACAAGGUUUUAGAGGGGCCAUUGUGAGUCAUUGAGCUCCUGAGACAGUCUGAGGAGUAACAGUGGGAUGAUGAUCGAACAUCAGUAUAUUUAUUGCAGUAUCACAGAUUGUCUGGAAACUUAGCAGCUAAGACAACAAAUGUAUGUUAUCUCACAGAGUUUGUGAGGGUUAGAAUCCAGGAGCUGCUUAGCUGAAUAGUUUUGGCUCAUGAUGUCAUGAGGUUGCAGUCAAGUGGUCCAGGGCUGUAGUUGUCAAAAGACUCAACUGGGGCUAGAGUAUCUGUUCCUAAGCCCACUCAGGUGGCUUUUGGCAGGAGGCUUCAAUACUGUGCCAUGCAGGCCUGUCUACAGGGAUGCUCAUGAUACAGCAGCUGGUUUUACCCCCAACAAGUGAUCCAAGAGAGGCACAGAGUACAAGAGAGUGAUCCAGUGUCUUUGAAACCUGCAGUGUCUUUUAUAAAUUGAUUUAGGAAGCAACAUACCAUUACUUUUGCUGUAUUCCGUGGGACGUGUAGAACAACCCUGGAACAGCGUGGGAGAGGUGGAGGGGAUUUGUUCCAGGCAAAGAGCAAAAUUGGUCAUGGAUUCAGUCUCCAUGGAGUAAAUACUCCAAAGGACAGAAUUAAAGGGGCCAGUAGGGAGACUGGAAGUGGGGGAGUCUGGACUAAGUCUAGACUAAGGGGGUGUGUUGCAGAGAAUGCUCAGCCAAGUUCUUUUGGAAUGAGAACAGGAGAACAUUAGAGUUGGGGAUAUGUAUGUGGGGCAGGAAUUUUCAUCGGUUUCUGUGUCAUGGACCAUGUUGGUAGUUUCAUGAAACUUAUGGACUCCUUCCCAGAAUACUGUUUUUAAAUACAAAAAAUAA
rnacentral:lncRNA from 10 species